rnacentral:rRNA from 1 species
AUUGAACGCUGGCGGCAGGUCUAACACAUGCAAGUCGAGCGGAUGAAGGGAGCUUGCUCCUGGAUUCAGCGGCGGACGGGUGAGUAAUGCCUAGGAAUCUGCCUGGUAGUGGGGGAUAACGUCCGGAAACGGGCGCUAAUACCGCAUACGUCCUGAGGGAGAAAGUGGGGGAUCUUCGGACCUCACGCUAUCAGAUGAGCCUAGGUCGGAUUAGCUAGUUGGUGGGGUAAAGGCCUACCAAGGCGACGAUCCGUAACUGGUCUGAGAGGAUGAUCAGUCACACUGGAACUGAGACACGGUCCAGACUCCUACGGGAGGCAGCAGUGGGGAAUAUUGGACAAAGGGCGAAAGCCUGAUCCAGCCAUGCCGCGUGUGUGAAGAAGGUCUUCGGAUUGUAAAGCACUUUAAGUUGGGAGGAAGGGCAGUAAGUUAAUACCUUGCUGUUUUGACGUUACCAACAGAAUAAGCACCGGCUAACUUCGUG